UGUACCUUGGACAAAAACUUCUGAAAGAGGAUCUAAUGAAUUUAUUUUUAAACUGCUAACAUAUUUUAUUUUUUUUCCUCGAGAAUGUUUUGUUUUGUUCCAUGUUUAAGCCAAUCAAAUGGAUACAAAGACCAUGUUUAAUGUGUAUUAAAUAAUAACAGAACAAAGCGAUAACUCUCAUUCAGAAAGUAGAAUAGUCAAUAACCCC
rnacentral:lncRNA from 1 species